CCACUGCUGAAGAGUUCCACAAUUGGACGAAACAGGUGUCCAGUGC
rnacentral:hammerhead_ribozyme from 1 species